GAGGGGCUAGGCGAGAGGAGAAGAGGGGCCGGACAGGGGAUCGAGGAGGGGGCCUGGGGUGGGAGGAAGGGAAGGGAGUCAACCCGGGGGCCCUCUCUGGGGAGCGGGGAGCAUUUGGAGGGCGCUGGUGCUGGUCCGGGAGGAGGUGGCUUCCCUUUGCGGCUGGUCUCUGGGUCCGGGUUACAGUUGCCGCGCGUGCAAGGAACUCAGUAGCCCUUCCCUGGCGGGUCGUAAAGACAGGCGGGGUCUGGGUGGCCCUUCCUCCCUUGGCGCAGAAAUGCUGCCUGGGCCGUCUGCGGGGGCGGCGGGCAGGCCUGGCCCUCCAGGUGAGCGCAGGGCACCUAAGGCCAUUCGGGAUGCCUUGUGGAUGGGCGGCUAGAAUUUUGGCAUCUGGUCUCUGGGAUCCCUCGUUCUCUCCAGAGCCGAGCUGGCUCUAUCUUCCUCCUUGGAAGUAAGCCUGAAGGCCCGGACAGGCACCCAUAGGAGGUGCCAGCCCUAUUGCCCCCCUCCCCCCACCACUCAAGUUACCACCGUCUCUGCUUAUAGGCCCAGCUCCGGGGUUACCGGGAGGCAGGCACUGCCCUCCCACAUUCCGGAGGGGGACACUUUUAGGCUCUGGGGGCCUCAGCGGUAAGGGAAGGAGAAGCAUGUGAGGCAGGCAUCUCCCCCGGGACCCUGAACAUCCAGGCUGAGGAUAGACUGCCCCUGAGGAGGCUUGCUGGAGGAGGUCUUCCUCCUAAAGGCCUGGGAGAGAGCCGGGCGGCUGGGGGUGGGACAGACGACUGACCAGGUCCAAGGAUGGGGAGGUGCCCUCCUGACCUCUGUGCCCCCAGGGUCUUUCCCUCAUCGCUGGCCUAGCUCAAUCCUUCCUUCUGCUCAACCCUUCCUUCUCCUGCUCAACCCUUCCUUCUCCGUGUGGGUGGCUGCUGCAGCCCACCCCAGCAGGGCUCCGGGCCUGCCCUCAUAGCGUGUCUGCUCCUCCCCACCCAGCUCCAGGAGGACACGGACACAUGUCUCCCCGUAGCCCUAGCGCUGAGACGGUCCCAGCGCAUAGGAAGCACCGGUGUUUGUUACUUGCACACAUCUGCCCCAGGUUUACCAACCAAGAAGCUGUCAGGCAAGCUGAGUAACUUGCCUGAAGGCACAGGGCUCAGAGUGACUGAGGUCUGACUGCAGGGGCCCAGGACAGCCAUCUGCCUUUCUCUCAGCUCUCCCUGCCCAGCCCCGUGUCUCCUUGGCUCCUCCUGCAGGGCCUCCGCUGCAGAUGGCGGAAGGGUGGGCCACCAUGCCUGUGCUUGGCCCCGGGUGGCCCCAAGCCAGGGCCUUCAAAGAAGUAAUUCAGGUAAAAUGAGGCCACCUGACUGGUGUGCUCACCAGAGGAAGUGUGGACACACGGGGAGACCAGGAGAACUCACACGCGUUGGGUCCGCCAUACGAAGAGGCAGGCGGCCUAUGAGCCAGGGAGAGAGGCCCCAGAGGAAGCCAGCACACCAGCGCCUUGACCUUGCGCUUCUAGCCUCCAAACUGAAACGGCUUCCUCCCCAGGAAGUCAGCCAUGUGACUUGGCGCUGGACUGCCGCUGGGUGGGGCGGGGGACACCUGCCCCCGUGCACACCGGCUGCCAGGAAUGCCGCCCUCUGCCCUCCGCCCUCAAGGAGGGGCCUUCCACCUAUGGCCUGUCGAGGCCGAUUGCCUGGAAGACACAUCCUGGGCCCAAAGAGGCCUGGACGCGUAGAGGUUUUGCAGCACGGACACAGAAUACUGAGAACUGAGUCCCCAAACGAAAACAUGAAGGAAGAGAGAGAAGAAAGAUCCCUGGAAACCUCGUGAACCGCAAGCCGAUCUCAGAGGACUGACUGCUGCAGUCAGCUACUGUGGGGCCAAGGCACACCCCCUGAGAGACUGCCGGGCAGUGAGGACCCCGUCCACGGACGCACAGGUGGGGAGGGCGGUGGGGAGGAUGAAGGUCAGGCCAGGGCUGGCCCCUCAUUCCGUCUGCGUAGACAGAAGCAUGAACACCAGGGAGGAGAAAGUGACCAGCCUGAACCUCGGGCGUGACGUCUGGACCCUGGGAACGGGGUCAGCUCAGGGCACCUCCUUACAGGGCACUUCCGACGGGGAAGCUGAGGCCACAGCCUCUGAGGAGGUACAGGAGUGGUUCAAGCUCACGGAGCCCUGCUGGGUGCCAGGUACCCCACCUUGCACGCUGAACCAGACAAGAAAAGGAGGGAAGUUCCGCCUGACUCUGAGGGCGCCUAGCAGAGGGUCCGGCCUGACCCAGGGGGUCAGCAAGGCUUGGGAAAAGGGUGCAGAGUUGAGCUCCGGAAGGAGAACGAGGGGACACGGGGUUGGUAAAUUAAAGUCCUAAUAGAAGGGUGCAUCUCACAACUGCAGAGCUUAGCCAGGGAACCGAACUCAUGGAGCCUUGUGGUGGCAACAGAGUCUACCUUGAAUGGAUACCUCACUCUGUGCCAGUAGGGCCCCCGGGGGACCGCGUUUGUUGGAGAUAAAGCCAGUGGUCCCAUUUUACAGAUUAGGGACUUGAGGCCCAGAGGGGCAAUCUGCUACAGGAGCUGGGCUUUGAGGCUUUGUCUGAGCCAAAACAUGCAGCUUUUGUGUCUCCAGGCAGGCUCCCAAAUCAGGGCGGGGGCCAAGGGUGGGCUGGCCCAGGCUGGGCUGGACCACUUCGGCAUUUUGAUUGUUUUAAAGAAAAGUUACUUAAGAGACAACCAGUGCAAGAAGGACACUCUGACCCUCCUCCAUCACCCUGAAAGUGGGAAAUCCAUCUCCCUCUUGGAAGGUACGGUCCCUGGACCAGGAGGUGAAAAACGAUCCUUAUCACCAGAGAUAAGAAAUCCAGGGCUCAGAAGGCUGUCCACACAACGCUUGUUACUUCUUGCUAACGUACUCCCCAGCCCAGAGUCUGUUGAAAACGCCGUCUAACUGCGGCCCCCCAAGUUCCAUUUUCUUUGUCCUGCCGAUUCCUCCCAGGUUCACGUCUCUCUGAAAAGUGUAAGAACUGCCCGCCUCGGUCAUUUCCUGGAGCCUCAAUUUCCUUACUGGGCCUCCCUGCGCACGUCAUAAAACUCUGGGGUUUUUUUUCCUGUGAAUCUGUUUCCUGUAAAUUUAAUUCUCAGUCCAGCUGGAAGGCCUCGAAGGGCAGAGAAAGAAUUUUUCCCUCCCCACAUGAGAAACCGAAUCACGACAGCAAGAUCUUUUUUUGUUACGGAAACAUCCAAGAAACCCUCAACCAAAUGAAAAGAUAAACCAGAACCCCCACUAAAUGGUUUCUCGGGUGCCCUAAUAGCACAGGGCCCAGGGCUUUGUUCACGUGGUGGGGGGAAGUGUCCCACGUGGGGCAUCUGCUCACCAGGCUGCCAUUCCCAGGUGAGGGGACAAGGGACUUUGGCAGACAAACCAGGUCUGGGGAAACUUACAAGGCUUGUUAUCUUAUCUCCAAAACUCCUUACCGGAAACUCCUGCAAUGAGCUGACAUUAAAAAUUCCAUCUAGACCCGGGGCAUCUGGGGUGCCUGAGUGGCUCAGUCGGUUGGGCCUCUGCCUUCAGCUCAGGUCACCAUCUCACGGUCUGUGAGUUCGAGCCCCGCGUCGGGCUCUGUGCCGACAGCUCGGAGCCUGGAGCCUGCUUCCGAUUCUGUGUCUCCCUCUCUCUCUGCCCCUCCCCCACUCAUGCUGUGUCUGUCUCUCUCUCUCACAAAAAUGAAUAAACGUUAAAAAAUAUAUAAAAAGUUGCGUCUAGGUCUAUUAGGAGCAUUGUUACACAGCCCAGGAAAGACAGAGUGUUCCCACAAAAUUCCUGGAACUGGUUGGUCUCUCUGCUUCCAUUGAGCGUCCAAAGGGAUCCUUUUUAGAUGGAAAUCCAGAUUACGUCCAAAUCCCCCCCUGCUGUCUCCAGGGCUCUCCUUGCUGGCUUACCUCUUCUCUGCACCUGGUUUACCAUUCCCCAGCCAAAUCCUCUCCCUGAUAUUUCUUGAACAGCCAAGCAUGAUCCCACCCCAGGACCUUUGAAAGUGCGAGUUCCUCUUCUGUCAACAUUCUCCCCACCCACAACCUCAACUGGUUGCACGGUCCAGAUCUCCCUUCGCUCCUGUUUCUGCUUAAAUGUCAACGGAGGAGGACAUUUCUCUGGGGGAGAGACCCUAUAAGACGAGUAGGGGGCUUUGGGGGAGCAAGGUACAGAGCCAGCCAGUCCUCCUAUGACUGGCCUCCACCUGCUGGAUUCCGAGGAGCCCUGUGGAUUGGGCCUUGGGACUGGUGAACCCGGUUGUAUCCACAUGCUUCCUUCCCAGUCCCUAGGAGUUCAUUCCACUGCACUUCCCUUGCAAGAGUCUGGCCUUUGUUCCUGCAGAUGUCACAGGCCUGGUGUCAGAGAAGGGGACAGAAAGCCAGCAGAGCCUGGCACAGUAGGCAGGUCAGACCCGCCUGAGGCUGCUGGAGACAAAGGUGGGUGGUGAGGCUCGGAAGAGGCAUGGGAGGUGGCAGGUACAGGCUGGGAGGUCUGGGAGGCCAGGGGCCUCAUCCUUUUCCUCUUCGCGUCCUUGGUGCUAAUACAGAGCAGGGCCAAGUGUAGCAAUUUGGUAAGAUGUUGUGAGCGAGUGAAAAUGCGAGCACAGGAGAGUCAGUGGAGCAAUUUUAAGUUGAGGCAAAGUUGAGUUCAAAGCAGGGGUUAUAUGUAGAAACACUGGGACAGACAUUAGGGAAUGGUGGGGACUCUGAGGCAGACCAGACAGCAGAUUGUUGGAACCUCCCAGAGAAGCCGGAAACCACAUUUGUGUGUGUGCGCAUAUGAAACCUUGUGACUUCUAUUAUUUUAUUAUUUUUUUAAUGUUUAUUAAUUUUGAGGGAGAGAGAGGCAGAGAAGGGAAGGAGCAGAGAGAGAGAGAGAGAGAGAGAGAGAGAGAGAGAAUUCCAAGCAGACUCCCGCUGUUGGCAUAGUGCCUGACGCAGGACUCGAACUCACGAACCGUAGAUUGUUACCUGACCUGAAAUCAAGAAUUGGACGCUCAGCCGAUGAAGCCACCCAGGUGCCCCGAAACCUUGUGAAUUUUAAAUGUUGGCAACUAAUUCCAAUCCAAAAUAUAAAACACUAGGCAGGAAAAUAAAACCCAGAUGCCGACCAGACGCAUUCAGAGACCAGCCCGUUUGUGACACCUGGCUUGAAACCACAGGAGUUAGGCUAGACAUAAAAGGUUAUUAUUUGGGGUGCCUGGCUGGCUCAGUCAGUAAAGCGUGCGACUCUUGACCUCGGGGUUGUAGGUUCAAGCCCCACGUUGGGUGUAGAGACUGCUUAAAAAUAAAGUCUUUAAAAAAAUGGUUAUUAUUCGUUGAUAGAGACUGAUGAAUACGUAACAGUAUGCAUAUAUUCCCAAAGAGUGAAGAAACAAAAUCAUAAAGGAAAGGGUUCUAGAAGUGCGAGGAGAAAAUAAUGGCAUGAAUGUACCUUGUGCAUGUGGAUCCAGCCAGCACAGGGGCAGACACGCUUAGUGACAGG